GCUCGCCUCUAACCAGACCCUUCCAGGCGGGAAGAUGUUCCCCUGAAAGGUAUCAGCCAUUAAACUUUGGAAGUCGAGUGAUGUUCCAGUCAUUGCUGUUCUGUUUUCUAGGCUUGGACUUAAGGAUCAGCAGGAGAGAGAAAUCAUUCACGUUCUCAUGGAUUGCUGCCUUCAAGAGAAAACUUACAAUCCCUUCUAUGCUUUCCUGGCUAGCAAAUUCUGUGAAUAUGAAAGGAGAUUUCAGAUGACUUUCCAGUUCAGCAUAUGGGACAAAUUUCGGGACUUGGAAAACUUGCCAGCUACGAAUUUCUCUAAUUUGGUUCAUCUGGUGGCCCACUUGUUGAAGACAAAAUCGCUUUCCCUUUCCAUCUUAAAGGUAGUUGAAUUCAGUGAAUUGGACAAACCCAGAGUCCGUUUUUUACGAAAAGUAUUAAGUAUCCUAUUAAUGGAAACAGAAGUUGAAGACCUCAGUUUAAUUUUCACAAG
rnacentral:lncRNA from 1 species